UAAGCUAGAUUUUGAGUUGAAGCACACGAGAGUGCGUGUAGGGCAGUGGGAAAGACCUGAAAAUCUUUGCCGUGAGCCUUUAACCAAGACCUCUCCUUCCACUGAGCUUC